GGAAGUAAAAGUCGUAACAAGUUCUCCGUAGGUGAACCUGCGGAGGGAUCAUUACAGAGUUCAUGCCCUACCGGGUAGAUCUCCCACCCUAUGUUAUUAUUACUUUGUUGCUUUGGCGGGCCGUUAGGCUCCGGCCCGACUACCGGCCCCGGCUGGUAAGCGCCCGCCAGAGGACCCAAAACCCUGAAUAUUAGUGUCGUCUGAGUACUAUAUAAUAGUUAAAACUUUCAACAACGGAUCUCUUGGUUCUG
rnacentral:misc_RNA from 1 species